CCUACGGGUGGCAGCAGUGAGGAAUAUUGGUCAAUGGACGCGAGUCUGAACCAGCCAUGUCGCGUGCAGGAUGACUGCCCUAUGAGUUGUAAACUGCUUUUGUACGAGGGUAAACCCCGAUACGUGUAGCGGGUUGAAAGUAUCGUACGAAUAAGGAUCGGCUAACUCCGUGCCAGCAGCCGCGGUAAUACGGAGGAUCCGAGCGUUAUCCGGAUUUAUUGGGUUUAAAGGGUGCGUAGGUGGUUUGAUAAGUUAGUGGUGAAAGUUUGGGGCUCAACCCCGAAAUUGCCUUUAAUACUGGUGGACUAGAGAACAGUUGCGGUAGGCGGAAUGUAUGGUGUAGCGGUGAAAUGCUUAGAGAUCAUACAGAACACCGAUUGCGAAGGCAGCUUACCAAACUAUAUCUGACGUUGAGGCACGAAAGCGUGGGUAGCAAACAGGAUUAGAUACCCUGGUAGUC
rnacentral:rRNA from 1 species